rnacentral:rRNA from 1 species
ACGCUCGACACCUACGGGGGCAGCAGUGGGGAAUAUUGCACAAUGGGGGAAACCCUGAUGCAGCGACGCCGCGUGAGCGAAGAAGUAUUUCGGUAUGUAAAGCUCUAUCAGCAGGGAAGAAGAAAGACGGUACCUGACUAAGAAGCCCCGGCUAACUACGUGCCACAGCCGCGGUAAUCUGAGCGGGCGUGGCGAAGGCG